UACGAAGGGGGCUAGCGUUGCUCGGAAUCACUGGGCGUAAAGCGCACGUAGGCGGUUUCUUAAGUCAGGGGUGAAAUCCUGGAGCUCAACUCCAGAACUGCCUUUGAUACUGGGAGACUUGAGUUCGGGAGAGGUGAGUGGAACUGCGAGUGUAGAGGUGAAAUUCGUAGAUAUUCGCAAGAACACCAGUGGCGAAGGCGGCUCACUGGCCCGAUACUGACGCUGAGGCGCGAAAGCGUGGGGAGCAAACAGG
rnacentral:rRNA from 1 species